rnacentral:rRNA from 1 species
GAGUGAGAGGGAAGAGCUCAAAUUUGAAAGCUGGUACCUUCGGUAUCCGCGUUGUAACCUCGAGACACGUUUUCCGUGCGGCGCUAUGGACAAGUUCCUUGGAACAGGACAUCGUAGAGGGUGAAAAUCCCGUACUUGCCAUGGAUGUACCGUGCUUUGCGAUACGUGCUCUAAGAGUCGAGUUGUUUGGGAUUGCAGCUCAAAAUGGGUGGUAGACUCCAUCUAAAGCUAAAUAUCGGGGAGAGACCGAUAGCGAACAAGUACCGUGAGGGAAAGAUGAAAAGCACUUUGGAAAGAGAGUUAAAAGUACGUGAAAUUGUCGAAAGGGAAGCGCUUGAAGUCAGCCAUGCCGCUCAGGACUCAGCCUGGCUUUUGCUUGGUGUAUUUCCUGGGUAGCAAGUCAGCAUUGGUUUGGAUCGUCGGAGAAGCAUAGUCGGAAUGUGGCGCCCUCGGGCGUGUUAUAGCCUUCUAUUGGAUACGACGAUCUAGACCAAGGAACGCAGCGCGCCUUAUGGCGGGUCUUCGGAC